AGGCCAUGCCCUUUGCCCUGAACUUCUCUGCACCACCCCGGUUCAUCUCCGCCAAGGAAUCUGUCUGGCCUCCUGCCCCCCUGCCAGCCCCUCCCUGGCCUCCCAGGACCUCAGGACCAAGUCCAGAGUCCUCCCAGGACUGGCGAAGCCUCCACAUCGCUCCGAGAGUUCCCAGCUGGGCUGUCAGCCCAGCAGAGAGGAUGUGGGAAUCAGGAGGCCCUACGGGGCUCAACUUCAGUGGGCCUAGAGCGGAGACCCAGCUCUGGGGGCCCGGCCAAGCCUCCGAGGACCACGGAACGCCCUCUCUGCUCCACAGGGUCCCCGUGAGUACAGAGAAGCUGGGGCAGCAGAAGCAGGAGGAGCUGGGGCAGGAGGGGCUGGGAUAGGAGGGGCUGGGGCAGGAGGAGCUGAGGUAGGAGGAGCUGGGGCAGGAGGAGCUGGGGUAGGAGGGGCUGGGGUAGGAGGGGCUGGGGCAAGAGGAGCUGGGGUAGGAGGAGCUGGGGUAGGAGGGGCAGGAGGAGCUGGGGUAGGAGGGGCUGGGGCAGGAGGAGCUGGGGCAGGAGGAGCAGGAGGAGGUGGGACAGGAGGAGUUGGUGUAGGAGGAGGAGCUGGGGCAGGAGGAGCUGAGGCAGGAGGAGCUGGAGCAGGAGGAGCUGGGGUAGGAGGAGCUGGGGUAGGAGGAGCUGGCCUGGACAUGGCUUCGUUCUGGAGGAGGGGGUGGAAUGUGCUCCUCUCUGCUCAGUUUCCCAGCCUGGCCAGGCCUCCUUCCCCACUGCCUCUCUUGGCCAACAUCCCAGCUCUCCCCUUCACAGGGCCCUGGGCUCUCUCCUCCCUGGGUCAGCACACACAUGGUUCCUCAUCAGCCCAUGAGCCAUUGUCCCCUCUUGCUCCCAGCCUCGCCUUCUCAAAUGCAAAUCCAAUCCUGUUCCCACAGCUUUAGGACCAGGUCCCUCCAGCCUGGCCUCUGUGUCCCUCCUGAGCCCUGUCUCCCCUGCCAUGCCUGAUCCACUGUGUCUGGCCACCCUGGGGCCUUUCCCAUCCUGGAGGUGGGGGCCUUGCUCCCUUUUCCUCCGGAAGGAGGUUGACAGUUCCCUGGGCCUGGAAGACACUCCCUUCCCCACCUGCUCAGCUGCAGCCCUGACUCCCUUUUCUGCGAGACCAGAACUGCUCUCCAACAUCUAGUUCCUGGGUCUAAAUCACCUGCGUCCCCACCACCCUGGAGGGUAGACCUUGGCUGUGCUCUGCCCACCUUGGGUUCUCUGCAUCUAAGCCAGUGGAUAUUUGGUGAGUAAACGAAUUUAGGAUUGGUGAAGUGGCUCCCAGCACUUUGGGAGGUCGAGGUGGGAGGAUCACUUGAGGCCAGGAAUCUCAGACCAGCCUGGGCAACACAGCAAAAGAAAAAAAAAAAUUAAGAAUUAGCUAGCAGUGGGAACACACACCUGUAGUUCCAGCUACUUGGGAGGCUGAGGUGGGAGAAACGCUUGAGACAGUGAGCUAUGAUUGCACUACUGCACUCCAGCCUGGGCAACAGAGCAAGACCUUGCCUACAAAAAAUUAAAAAAGAAAAAAAUUAUUUUCUGGCCCCAAAGAUCUAGUCUUCACAGAGGUUAGCCUAGUUGUAAACAGACAAAAUAAACCCUGAUAGUGCAUCCAAAGAGCCCUUGAGUACAAUAAAUACUAAAACACACAGGCAGGCUGGGUGCCGUGAGAUUACAGUGGGGAGGAGGAGCUGAUCGUGAAAAGCUUCUUAGCAGAGGGUCAUCUGGGCUGGCUCCAUAGGAAGGACAUUCCUGGGAGCAGAAACAGCACAGGGGAGGGGCCAGCUGGAGGUGGGGGAGCAUUUUCCAAAAAGACCGGUGGUGAGGGGCGUGUGGCUGGAGGGGAGGCCAGAUGGCAGGCACGGGGUGCCUCGAGGAGGCACUGAUGGGACCCAGGGUACCACGUGGGAUCUGAGGGUGUCUGUGGAGCAAGGGGCCGAGGAACAGCUUACACUGGCUCUGGACUAAGAGUUCCCUAGUAGCAGUGGGGAGGAGAGACAAAAGCCCCCAGAAGGGGUGGGGCUGGAGGGAGAUGACACUACUCUAUACUUCUCUGUUUUUCUUUUUAUAGUGUGUUAUAUAUCUUUUUUAAGAAACAAAAUAUCAUUGUAAAAUAGAAAUGGCCAGUGGGAAAGAGUCAGGUGAGUAGGUGAAGGGCAGAUCAGAGAGGGAGCAUCCCUCUAGGGCAGAAAAGGGAGGAGUCUCAGGCUUAGGAGGUGGGAGGAUGAGGCAGGGGCUAAGACUGGGAGGCUGCUGAGCUUGGCAUUGAAGGGGGGUCCUGUGGGGUGAGUCUGAGGGGUGAAGAAAGCCCUGGUUUCAUUCUGGAACAGUUCAAAUAGAAGGUGGGUCCCCCAAAAUUUAUUCUUUAUGGCCUGGUGGUUCAUGCCUGUCAUCCUAGCACUUUAGGAGGCUGCAGUGGGAGAAUUGCUUGAGCCCAGGCUGAGGCUGCAGUGAGCUAUGAUCGUACCACUGCACUCCAGCCUGGGUGACAGAACAAGACCCUAUCUCUACAAAAAAUAAAAAUAAGGCUAGGAGCAGUGGCUCACACCUGUAAUCCCAGCACUUUCAGAGGCUGAGGCAGGUGAAUCAGUUGAGGCCAGGAGUUCUAGACCAGGCUGGCCAACAAGGCAAAACUCUAUCUCUACUAAACAUACAAAAACUAGCCAGGUGUGGUGGUGUGUGCCUGUAGUCCCAGUUACUCAGGUGGCUGAGGCAUGAGACUCGAUUAAGCCCGGGAGGCGGAGGUGGCAGUAAGCCAAGAUCGCUCCACUGCACUCCAGCCUGGGUGACAGAGCGAGACUCCAUCUCAAAAAUAAAAGAAAAAAAAUAAAACCAUUAACUAGGUAUGGUAGCACACACCUGUAGUCCCAGCUAUUCAGGAGGCUGAGGCAGGAGGAUCACUUGAACCCAAAAGUUCAAGGCUGCAGUGAGCCGUGAUUGUGCCGCUGCACUCCAGCCUGGGGUGCAAGAUCUUAUCUGUAAAAAAAAAAAUACAGAAAUAAAAAUUUAAAAGUAUCCUUCAGAAAAGAGGGUGCUGCCUUCUUAAGUCCUUAGAAAGUAUCUCACAGCAUGAGGCUCUCAAUUAGUUUAUUUUGACAGCCACACACUAUUCGGGAACUGAGGGAGGAGUUUGAAAGCUGGGAGCAAUAUGUAUGGAGGUCGCCUGGCAGAAUCCACUGAAAAGAUGUCAGAAAUAAAUUUAACUCAGAUUAGUCAUUUUUCCAGGAGUAGAACCUCACAUUUGCAAGCUUUGGCUGUCUUUGUAAAUCAGUCUUUUAAAUGCAACUUUAAAAAUACAGCCAGUGGGGCCAGGUGCAGUAGCUCAAACCUGUAAUCCCAGCACUUUGGGAGGCAGAGGUGGGCGGAUCAGCUGAGAUCGGAGUUCAAGACCAGUCUGACCAACGUGAAGAAACCCCAUCUCUCCUAAAAAUACAAAAUUAGCUGGGUGUGGUGGUGCAUGCCUAUAAUCCCAGCUUCUCAGGAAAGCUGAGGCAGGAGAAUCGCUUGAACCUGGGAGGGGGAGGUUGCGGUGAGCCGAGAUCACGCCAUUGCACUCUGGCCUGGGCAAUAAGAGUGAAAUUCCGUCUCAAAAAAAAAAAAAAGUACAGCCAGCGGUUACAUUUUGAAAUGUGAUCAUAAAACCACUACCACCUGGACCACCAGCCUCAGGUCCAGCACACCAGCACUCGUGGCUUGGGAAGAAAUGCUCCAAUCAUGGCAUGUCCUGUUCAGAAUUUUUUUCUUUUUUCUUUUUUUAGACAAGAGUCUUGCUCUGCCACCCAGGCUGGAGUAUAGUGGCAUGAUUUCAGCUUGCUGCAACCUGUAUUUUCCCGGAUUCACGCAAUCUGCCCACUUCAGCCUCCCGAGUAGCUGGGACUACAGGUGCACACCACCAUGCCCAGCUCAUUUUUGUAGAGAGGGGGUUUCACUAUGUUGUCCAGGCUGGUCUUAAACUCCUGGGUUCAAGCUGGAUCUCCCCGCCUCGGCCUCCCAAAGUGCUGGGAUUACAGGAGGGAGCGGCUGCGCUCAGCAUGAGCAGAUUUCUAAAUCAUCACAUGAAUUGCAAACAGUUUAGCUGAAAGUGGAGGAUGUCAGGCAUGGAAAACUGUGUGAGAGGAUCCAGAACACGGGGACUAAGCUGCCGGUGCAGCCAAGUCUCAGGAGUGCCAUGAGAGGCAUCCUCUUAGAUCAGUGUUUUCUUUUAGAUAUGACUUUAAAUAUUCGUGAUGUGUGACCAGAUUAACAUAUUAAUUAUUAACAAGUUGGCAUUUGACACUUUGGUCCACACUUAUCAAAAGCUCAUACUUUUGGCCGGGCUCGGUGGCUCUUGCCUGUAAUCCCAGACCUGUGGGAUGUUGAGGUGGGUGGAUCAUGAGGUCAAGAGAUCAAGAUCAUCCUGGCCAACAUGGUGAAACUUCGUCUCUACUAAAAAUAAAAAAAUUAGCCGGGCAUGGUGGCACCCGCCUGUAGUCCCAGCUGCUUGGGAGGCUGAGGUGGAAGAAUCGCUUAAACCCAGGAGGCGGAGGUUGCAGUGAGCCGAGAUAGUGCCACUGUGUUCCAGCCUGGCGACAGAGCAAGACUCCCUCUCAAAAAAAAAAGCUCAUACUUUCAAGUUGACUAGAUGGGUUUCCUUUUUUUUGCAGUGUCUUUUUUGGAAAAGUGGAGCCUCACACAGCUCAAGCCGCUUGAGCCUGAAGUGCGUGCAUGUGUGUGCAUAUUUAUGUGUGUUUCAUGUGUAUGUCUGUUGUCAUGUAUGUGUUUGUAUGUGCCUGUGUGUAUGUGUAUGUGGGGGGCAAGUUUGUGUAUGUUUGUCCUUGCAGGUAUGUUUUUGGAUGCACGUUUGUAUGUUUGCAUGUGCGUCUGUGUGUAUUUGUACACGUGUGUUUGUGUGCAUGUCUGUGCGAGGUGUGUUGUGUGUAUAUAUCUGAGAGUGCAGGCAUUGGUGUGUGCACGUGCACGUUGGUGCAGUGUGCAUUUUCAAGCACGUUUGCAUUGUUGCAUGUGUGUGCAUGGGUUUGUGGGCAUAUGUCUGCUCAUGUGCAUGUGUUUGCACGUACAUUUGCAUUGUGGUGUUUUGUGUGUGCAUGUGUCUUUGUCUGUGUGUGUGGACAUGCAGUAGUCUGGAAUGUUCAGGAGGUGGGUUUUGUCUUGGAGCCUCUGGGAACUGUCUGGUGGGGUCACCUGGCCUCACUACAGAUGUGGCAGCAGAGUUGAGGGCUGCUGAGGGGGUAGCCCCUGUGGGGGACUCUUGAAGACAUUGAGGGAGACAGGAAUGAUCUCUGGAUUUCUGGCAGGGACAACCAUGUGGCUUGUAUGUCAUUUACUGAACAGGGAGCAGGGUCACAGGUGAAGGUAAAUUGAAGCCGAGCUAAGCUGAAUUGGAGGCAUCUGAGACAUGAAUGUGCAGACGUCCAGUAGAUGAUCCAGGCAGGUCGGGGUGUUGGGGACAGAGCCAACACCCACACUCAACAGGCAGAGGGUAGGACUGAGUGCCAGGGCAGAAGAGAAAUCCUGAAAGCAGGGAGGAGUGAUGAGGAGGGAAGGGCAUACUCCUGGGUGAGGGUAGCUGGGGUGGGUGAUGAACGGGAUGGGGGGUGGGGGGGAGGGGGCGGUAAGUGGAGUGGAGCCUGCAGCCCGAAGCAUGCUGGGGGAGAGGUGGGUAUGAGAAGGGAAUGGGGCGGGCGAGGCUGCAAGGAGUGGGAACCAGCACCCUUUGUAUAACUUAUGCAAGCUGUGACCUGGCCCACCCACUCACACCCUUCCCUGCUUUCAUUUCUUUGCAAGCCUGGCCUGGGAAGGGAAGAGCUGGUGGGGAGGAAGCCCCCAGACUGGGCCGCCAUGAAUGGCAACCGCGGGAGCCCUGGCAGGGCUGCACUCUCUCCUUUGAAUCCCAGGCUGCUCUGGGGCUUCAUUAACGAAUAGCUCAGGGGCACCCCCUCCUCUUAUUCAGAAAGGGACAUAGCACCAUGGAAACGUCCCUCAGGUUCCUGAGGCAGGCCCCAUCUAAUGGGGCUGGCCCUUGCGGCUGUCAAAGGGCCUGGCUCCCAGGAACCAAUGGGAAGGUGCUGGCCGAAGGCCAUUAGCUGGCACCCACACAGAGACGAGCCACCCUGUUCCACAGCCCGUCAUUCAUAUUCCAAGCCCAACAGCAGUGCUGAAAGGAGUGAGGGAUUCAGAGGCUUACUUCUUUUUUUUCCCUAUGUCCCCCAGGGACCUUGGAGGAAUCUCAUAUUUAAAAUUAUCUUGGCAAGAGCCUGUGGUGACUCUCGCUUGGUCUUUGAGGCGGCCCACAUGCACUGAGCGCGUGCCUGGGAGCACCAAAAAUCAGUGAGCUGGAUGGGGAAGAGGAAGAGGGAUUCUCCCUGUGUGCCUGUGCCUGUGUGCACGGAUGUCCGUGCUCACAUACGUCCGUGUCUAUCCAUACCGCUGCCCAAGGCGGGUGGAGGCCCGAGGUUGGACCUUCCCCCUCCUCCUCUCACCAGCUCUAGCUGGCAAGCCCUCACAGGCUGUUUUCCUCUCUGCCGCUGGGUCUGAACCCCUCAGGGACAUAACAGCUGGAGGCUGCCGAGGCUGUGAGUUUGCAGUGGGUGACUGCCUGGUACACCAUGCUCUCCAUUGCCACAGGCUCCUUCAGGUCCUACCAGUUCCUCUGCAAAGCGCAAAUUUUCAAAUGAACUGCUUGCCAGAAUAAGCCAUUGAGGUGUAAAGAUGGGCUCAGGGCAGGGCACAGUGGCUCAUACCUGAAAUUUCAGCACUUUGGGAGGCCAAGGCGGGAGCAUCGCUUGAGGCCAGGCAUUGUACACCAGCCUGGGCAAUACAGCAAGAUCCUAUCUCUACCAAAAAUUGAUUGAUUGAUUGAGACGGAGUUUUGCUUUUGUCGCCCAGGCUGGAGUGCCAUGGCUCACUGCAACCUCCACCUCCCAGGUUCAAGUGAUUAUCCUGACUCAGCCUUUUGAGUAGCUGGGAUUAUAGGCACCCACGACCAUGCCUGGCUAAUUUUUGUAUUUUUAGCAGAGAUGGGGUUUCACCAUGUUGGCCAGGCUGGCCUUGAACCUCUCACCUCAGGUGAUUCACUGCCUCAGCCUCCUAAAGUGCUGGGAUUGGCCAGGCAUAGUGGCUCAUGCCUGUAAUCCAAGCACUUCGGAGACUAAGGCAGGUGGAUCACCUGAGGUCGGGAGUUCAAGACCAGCCUGACCAACAUGGUGAAACCCUGUCUUUAAAAAAAAAAAAAAAAAAAAGUGCGGGGAUUACAGGCAUGAGCCACUGUGCUCCACCCCCCAAAUAUUUUAUGUUAGCCAGGUGUACGCCUGCAGUUUCAGCCACUUGGGAGGCUGAGGUGGGAGGACCGCUUGGGGCCAGGAGUUCAAAACCAGCCUGGGCAACUUAGCAAGACCCCCAUCUCUACAGAAAUUUUUAAAAGAAGUGGUUGGCCAUCGUGGUGCACACCUAUAAUUCCAGCUACUUGGGAGGCUGAGGCAGGAGGAUCACUUACACCCAGAACUUUGAGGCUGUAGUGAGCUAUGGUUGCACCACUGCACUCCAGCCUGGGCAAGAGAGCAAGACCCUAUCUCAAUAAAAAAAUAUACAUAUAUUUUCACACACACAGAUAUAUAGGAGAAUGAUAGAAAAUGGGUUUGGGCAAAUGCCAGAGCCAACCACAGUAACUGUGGAGGCUUCAGACAAACUCCGCCCAGGAUUUAGCACCCCAGGGCAGGCAGCCACAAGUGCACAAAGCCACAGAUGCACCUUGUUCUAUGCAACAAAAUAUUGAAAAACAAAACCCAGAUAUCAGCUCCUUUUGGUCAUUCCCAUCUAUGUUUGAUUCCUCAGUAAAUUAUUCUUUCCUUGCUCCUGAAAAAGAAAUGAAAUCAAAUUUGGAGAAAUAACUCCCUCACGCACACACAUUUUUGUGGGCUCACUUGUAUCUAAGGAACAGAAAUUCCACGAGGGACCCUGGUGUCAAGAGUUGCACCCCAGUUCAUGCAUGGCAGGGAGCUGGCAGCGGGACCUGUCCCUGAAGCUGGCUCUCCAACCCCUAGCCUGCACUGUGACCACAGCAAAAUGCCAGAAGCCUAGAGAAGUUGGGUUUCUGAAGCAGAUCCUUUGUGCAGCCUGAGUACGUGCAGUGGGAACACACCUGGAGGUAAUUAAAAGGCUUUAUAGGGCAAUCAAGGCACCCUGAAAAACAACUUUUUAUUUAAAAGCCAAUAAUGAGUUGUACAAGAAAGAAAACCUUAUCCCUUAUCGCUUUUAAGGGUGCUUAUCCAUCCAUGGUGUGUACCAGACAGGGUUGUUGGCACUGUGUAGGUGCUGCCGGCAGGCCCUUGGGAGCUUGGCGAGGUGGGAGCCUUGAGAAAUAUCUGGCUCGGACCCAUGGCGAGGUUUGUGUGUCAACUCCCUGGUUCUCAGAGAAUCUCUGAGUCACAUGAGAGCAGACACUGCUUCCAAAACCAAAGGAGAAAUUUUGCAAUCGUUUGGACAGGUUAUAAUAGAAUCUCAUUCAGAUCUUGAAGGUUAUUGGUACUUUCUGCAAGUUUUUAUUCUUCAAAAAUACAGCAAAGCUUUGCUGUACUUAUCUUGGUAGGAGCUCUAGGUUGGGCUAUCUUUUCUUAAUUCAACUGGCUUUUUUGCAAGGAAGGGGGUUUCUGGUCCAUCUGAGGGAUCAAGGGCACAGUCUGUACAAAAAUAGACAUUCAGCAGGCAGACCACAGCCAGAGUGUGCGACCAGCAUCGUUUGGCUAUUUUAGUCUCUUCUUAAUACAUAGACUAACGAGCAAAGAAAGGCUACUUUGUCCAACACGGGGCCCUGGGUUGGAGUUUAGCCCUGCUUGGUUCUGCCCACUAGUCUCACAUCAUGUCACUCACCCGAGGCCUGGGGGAACGGUGGUCUUGGUGGUCUUCUUUGGCCCUUCCACCUCUUCUCCCUUGUGGGGACCACCCAAGCCCUCUCCUCACUUGCCCAGAGGCUGCAUGCCUCUCUGGCAUCACAGUCUGCACAGGAACUGGCUGUAGGACUCCACUGAACUCCCCCUGGGGCUGGCUUUGUGCCCAAGGCACAUCCACCUCACUUCUGCCUCCUUUCUGCUGGUUUCUGGCCUGUUUGGUUCCAGCCCCUCCCCGCACUCUCUCUGCAGCUGUGCCUGGUGGGUGAUAUGAACCAAGGGACACUGAGGAUUGUGGCAAUGCCUGGACUGUUUGGUAAUCACUGGCAGUCGGUCCCUGGCUUCUGAGCCUGGGCCCUCCUCCUUGUUCUCCCUGUCCUGGAUCAGCAGGACAUGCUGGGGGGACAAGGUCCUACAAAGGCCUUGUAAGAGCUGUGCCCUAUGUCAGGAGAGCCUCCUAUAUCUCCAGGGAUGUCCCUGGAGCUCUCCAGCUGAUGCCUCUGCUGAGGUCCCUAAGUGGCAGGAACAGGACUCUAGGGGAGGAGUUGGGGACAGGCCUUUAAGGGGAGGGUGCACCUCAGGUAAGCUGCACCUGCAGCUCACCAGCCCCUGCAUCAGGGCCUGUAGGGCUGAGGGCCCCACAGGGUCGUGGGGUGAGCCUUAUGCUGUGCUGAGGUGCAGGAUCUGAGAAAUAAAGAGACAGGACACAGAAGUACAAGGAAAACGCAGCUGGGCUCAGGGGGUCAUGCCACCUAUAAGCGGAGUCAGGCGAGGCCCUGAAUGUCCAGAAGCAUGAGUAUUUAUUGUGUAUAGGUUAGGGGGCAGGGCAGUGAGUGAAUUCAUCUUUAAGGAUAGUGAUAGGGUCGUGAAGAAUAAAACAUGGGGUCGACCCCCAUUAGGUCACCUAGGCCGGGAGGUGGACAGUGCACAGCAAGGGGCCUGUUCCCAUGAAGGCAAGGGCCGUGAGCAGUAAGGGGGUGCAGUGUCCAAUACUUCUAUCUAUGGGCAAACUACUUCUAAGAAGAUUUAUAGGAGGAUGCUUUAAGUCACAUAGCGGUGACAGAGCUGUCAGUGUUACCGCCACCUUCUGGCGGCUUCCAAUGAGUUCUACAGGAAGAUGCUUUUCGAGCAGCAUAGUAGCAAGAGCUGAUAAAGUUCACAGUCACCAAGGUGGAUUGCCGUUCUGAGGGCAGGCUUCUACAAGAACUGGAGCAAGGUCCUACAACUCGUUUAUCAGGAGGAGUGGCUCUCGCCCCAAGUCUGCCAUACAGCGGGUAUCUUUACGAUACUGAAUGCUGCCACCUGGGCCAUGGAUUCUUGUCCUGGUAUAACUGUUUUUCCCUUAAAUCAUGCUCUGCACUGUGUCUGCUCUAGGCAUUUCUCUGAUUAUAAACUGCUUAUUCCUUAAUCCAUGCUCUGUACUGUGUCCACUCUAGGCAUUCCUCCGAUUAUGAACUAAGAUAUAAUUAUAGGUAUAUAUUUUAGGGAAUAUAUAAUUAUAGGGAAAUAUUCUUUAGGCACUCAUACUAUCAACUAUUAUAUGUUUCUAUAUAGAGGAUUAUAUAAAGGGAUUCGUCAAGCCCUAUUUCUAUAAACUAAUAUAUGAUUAUGAGGAUUAUAUAAAAGGAAAUAGCUGAGUAGUAACACUAUAAAUUGAGAUAUUCCUCAAACCCUUACUGUGCCAGCGUUCUGCUUAGCUCUCAUUCCUCGGUGCCUAUAUGGGGGGUUACCCACAGAGGCCAGCUUCAGCCUCAGCAGUGUCUGCUCUACCGGUGUGGCUGCUGUUAACACAGCGGGGCCAGGCCCUGGAGACUGUGACAUCUUCGGUGGCUGCUUGUUUAAAGGGCAUGGGAUGGAGAAAGAGUAUGUUCUUUUAAAGCUGGACCCAACAGCCUCUGAUAGCAGAUACAGCUUUGCUGCUGUUCUUUAAGUUCAAGGUGAUGUGGAGGUGUUGCAGUGACAAUCAGGACACCAUGAGCAACAUGUGCCACCAACGUUUACCCCGAAGUGUUCACACCUGGGCCUGCUUUGGCACUUAACGCUGGGGCAAAGGUCACUUUCUUGGGGACUUACCCUCCACUUCCAGUCUCCCCAGGAAUUGUCCUGUCUCCUGCCUUCCUAGGCCCUGCCAGCAGCUUCAGCAGCACCUCUGCCCACCCCACUCCACCACUGGCUCCAACAGCCUGGCCCCGCCCAUGGCUUAGCCCCACCCAUAGUUCAUCCCGCCUAUGACCCCCACGCCUCUCAACGUUCAGCCCACCCACAGCUCAUCCCUCCCACGGCUAGGCCCCGCCCACACCUCGUACCUCUCAAGGCUCAGCCCCACCCCCGGCUCACCCCUCCAUGGCUAGGCCCCGCCCCAGCUCACUCCCCCAUGGCUAGGCCCCGCCCACAGCUUGGCAGCCUGGGCAAGCGUGGCGACAGGCAGCUCCACGACUAGAGACAGGAACCAGGGGUUUGUCUUUCGGAGUACCCCACCCCAGGAAGGCAGAGUCCAAGGCUUUCUGGCUGCUCCCCGACUCCAUGGGCUCCUCUUCCCCUCCUAAGUCCCCUCAGGGCCAGAACUCCUGGCCCUCAGGACCUGGGGCAGCAGGCAAGGAGGCCUCUCUGCCUGGUGCGGCCUCCAUGGAACAAAACUACAUUGCAGUGUUCCAGAAUCACAGAACAGCCCGAUGGGCUGUCCCCAGCAAAGGGGACUGGUGACCAGCACUGGACACAGCAUCAGCUGGUCACAGGCUUGAGAAUGCAUUGUUUUACCCAGGGAGCUUCAAGACGGAUGCUGGCUUUUAACAGAGCAGCCCUGCUGCACCAAAGGAGGACACGGCCGGUUACCUACGGACUAUUCUUCACCAACCCCGAGGCAGGGAUCCCCUCUCCAUACCCAUAACCCAAAGUUCUAGGCCACUGGUUCCCAAGAGUGAGCAUGUCCUGCAGAAAUACGUGGGUUUAAUGAGAGGGAGCAGCUGCCACAGAACGGAGGAUCUCCCCCAGCGAACAUGCAGGUACCUCACCUUCUGAGGGCUUUCGAGGGUGGACUGGUUCCUAGGACCUGCAGCUUUGAGCCGGCAGGCAGAGAGGGCCGGGAUGGUGCCCCAGGGAGUGGACCUGGGCAGGUAUGGUGAUGAGGGCAGGGGUCUACAGAGGGCCUGUGUCAAUUACGCAGUCCAUCAAGUUAUCAGCCAGUUCAGUGGAAAAAAAUGGUUUUGGCAACUCACAGUCCAAAUGAGGAAAACAUGUGAGCAAGCUAGACCCUCGGCUGACUUGUUUCCACCCACUGUAGAAACAGAGCCUACGUGGAGACGGGCCAGGCAGCGAGCUGCAGGGUGGAGCUCGUCCUUCACUUUGGGUGGCCCCAUCGCUGAGUGACUGGGAGAGGAUGGGUUGGGCUGGGCACACCUGUGUCCUCCUCCCACAGGGCAGGUGGACUUUUGAAGCUCCUUUCUCCCUUCCACAAGACACUGAGUUGGGGCCAUCAGCCCCUGACUGACGUGGAGGAGGCCCCAGGCUCAGGCUUGGCUCCCAGGGGUGACUCAGAAGGCUGCCAUGCUGCAGAAGAAGCGCCCAGGGAUUAGACUGUUCCCGUGAACAGAAGCCUUGGGAGAAGGCAUUGGCUGUGUAAGGAGGGGUUUUCUAAUGCUAGUCUCUCCUGAGACUGAGGCCAGCCCUGGCAGGAGUCCUGACAAGGGUGCUGUGGAUCUGGACAUCAGGCCUCGGCUGUGCAGGGGUCUAGAUGCCCCUGAAGGCCCACCCGGGUCUAAGGCUCUUCUUCUUGAUGCCCUAACAAGGGCUAAUCUCACACACAAGCAAGAGAUGGGCAUAGACACUGUGUGCUUACCCCAGGACCUCCUUCUUAGGCCUCUGCAGCUGCUGCCUCCAAGGGCUCUGCACACCAAGCCCAGCUGUGGAGCUGUGAGUGCAGAGGCCACACACAUGGGGUGAUGGGGACUGUCCCAGACAGCAGGUGCGACGUGCUCCAUCAUGAGCCUAUGCUCUCCCUUGAAUGGCGGGCCUGCCUCCUCACUCUCCUCUCCUCUUCCCCCGGGUGACCCCACAGAAGCCAAGGCACCUGCUGGGCUUGGUAACAGAUGUUGCCCUGCUGUUCUCAAAAGCAAGUGUGAUGCAGCUUUUGUGAUUAUAAUUUGGGAUUUAAAAAAAUCUUCAUUUACGCAGUGACAGAAUCCACCUAGAAUCCUUCCUGGGAAGGGCAGCUCUGGAGGGCAGUGCUCCAGGGGGCAGGGAGGGUGAUAGGGGAAAGGAUGGUGUGAGGGGCUGGGGCGUGGAGUAAGCUCAUGUGGGGACCUGGGUGUCUUUAGCUCCUCACUGGCUUGAGACAGGCCAUGUUUUUCCAUGGAGAUGGGGGAAGCUGGUCUCACACCUUCCUAAGGCAUAGCAGGUCGUGUCUGCCUGGCCUAUUGGGCCGAGAUCGGGGGCAAAUCCUGGUUGUCGAGGGUGUCACCAGGAAGAGGGGCAUGGUGUUGGCACUGGCUGCUAAUAGCAGCUCCUCACAGGUCAAGGUUGUGGGCAGACUGCAAGGUGCUGUCAGAGAACCUGUCACUGCAGGCUCCCUGGUGGCCCCGAGUUCACAGAAGACGUGUCUGUUGGACUGAAAAACCACCAUCCGAGCUGCAGCUGGAGAUGAGGAGAUGCAAGCCACUGGCACUUCCCAGAGAAUGAAGCAAAGGCAUUUGGGAUUCCUUCAACAAACAAAAGCACAAAGAGAAAGAGAAGCGGUGCAGAUAUUGAGGUGUUAAGUAGGUAUCAUCCUUCUUCUCCUAACACGAUUAAUUAUCUUUCCAGUCGUAGUUCCUGUGUCCUCUGCAGCAUGGCCAUCACGGCAUGGAGGCAAUGAUGGAGACCUAGACUGGGAAGUUCUUCUUCGUGGGCAGAGAUGGGGCAAUGAUGAUAUCGUUGGAGUCAUCAGAGUUGACGUCAUCCCUAGGUGGAGGUGCCACGAGCUGCAGCCCCGAAGGAGGGGGGGUCUGUGGAAAUGAACCACAGAGAGAGGGGUCAGCCACACUGACCUCAGGGGCUGCCACCACGGACACCCUUUCACUGUCUGCUCUUCCCUGCAAGAUGGCGGCCACCCCCAGAAGCACAGAAACUACGACACCGGAGGAAGUGACAAGGACACAACCCACCAGCUCUCCGUUGUACCCUUACACAACAGAUGGGAAUGACACCGUGACAGUCUUCAGAUGGCCUUUGGAAUAACAAUCAAACUCAACUGACCCAAGUAUAUAGUCCACAGACGGCCACUACCACUAAGGAACUCUAUGCUGGACUCUGCAUUUCUGUCUUGGUACUUCUUGCUCUUUUAGGUGCCAUCAUUGCCAAGAAAUAUUUCUUCGGAAACAAGACUCCAGAACUAAGUAUUUCGUUUAGCAGCCUUCAAAUUCAAGCUUUGCAAAAUGCAGCUAAAAAGGAAGUCCAAGCAGAAGACAAUAUCUACAUUGAGAAUAAUCUUUAUGGCACGAACUAAGACCCAGUGGUGCUCUUCAGGAGUUUGCAUCCAUGAUUGCAGAAGACAACAGAUAUCAGUGUAUCAGACAUCUUUUAGACUCCAAGAUGGUAAUAACAUAUCAGACAUCUUUUAGACUCCAAGACAAUGUUUCUGUAUCAAUUUUAUCUGGCAUUCCAACAUGUCAGGACUGGGUAGACUGACUCUCUAGCUCCAAACUGUGUAUAGCCGACCUCAUCAUUAAUGUAGUCCUAAUAUUUAUGCUAAAACUGGCUCAAUCCUUCUGAUCAUUGUGGAGUUCUCUCUCAAACAUGAACACCUUAGAAUUGUAUGUUCUCCUUAGACCCCAUAAAUCUUGUAUCCAUCAAAGAGAUUAGUUACUGGAAACAAAGCGAAUGGACCUCUCUCGGCCAUCAGAGCCGUCCAGAAGAGGGAAAUCUAUCUUACAGAUCAGCAAAUUCAAUGUGAGACUUCAUUUGGAAGCAUUGUAUGAUUGUCUCUUGUUUCUGUAUUACAGUUUCAAAAAUUGCAUUGCCUAUGUUUUCCAAAGGUUUCAGAUUAUGGGGUACGUGGGUUUUUAUCUCCUCUAUGGGGAAAGAAAGUGAGUCUAAUUCACUAUAACAGGUAUAGGUCUUUUCUCAUGACUCUGGAAAUGUGAUGCAUUAAGUACUGGAUCGCUGAACUGGGGUAUCUAUUUUACCAGUUAAAAGAGGCUAUAAUAGUAUGAAAAUAAUUUGCCAGGUGAUUCAACACAUUUAUCCUUUUUUUUUUUUAAGAUGGAGUUUCACAGUUUCACUCUUGUUGCCCAGGCUGGAGUGCAAUGGCACCAUCUUGGCUCAUGCAACUUCCACCUCCUGGGUUUCAAGCAAUUCUUCUGCCUUAGCCUCACAAUUACCUGGGAUUACAGGUACCCACCACCACACCUGGCUAAUUUAAAAAAAAUUUUUUUUUUUAGUUGCACUGGGGUUUCACCAUGUUAGCCAGGCUGAUCUUGAACUCUUGACCUCAGGUGAUCCACUGGCCUCGGCCUCCCAAAAUGCUGGGAUUGCAGGCAUGAGCCACCAUGCCCUGCCCAUUUAUGCAAUUUUUUACUACGUCUGUGUCAUGGUGCUAAGCAUUUAAACAACUAUCAGGCUUUCUGAACAAAUUUUUAGAACCAAGAAGGUCAGCAAUAAAAGCAAAAAAAGGUUGGGGUAGGCAAAAGGCUGCCUUUUCUGCCUUAGAAGUUAUAUUACAGGUAUAAUAAUGUUUGAAACUCAUUAGUUUUGACCCAAAUUCUAAAUUGUCUCCAAGCCACUUUUACAUUUAAAAUUGUUCUGGAGGCUAGCGCCAUGGCUCAUGCCUGCAAUCCCAGCGCUUUGGGAAGCCAAGAUGGGCAGAUAGCUUGAGCCCAGAAGUUUGAGACCAGCCUGGGCAACAUGGCAAGAGCCCAUCUGUAUUAAGAAAAAAAAUUAGAACUAAAAUGAAAGAUAAAAUUGUUUUGGAAAGACAAAGCAUUUUCUCAUAUAUAAUCAAUUCCUGUAUUUAAAAAAAAUAAUUCAGUUAAGCUUAUUGUAAGGCUAUCUUCAGUCACCAGUAUAACUGUUCAGAUGUAUAGGUUUGCCAGGGCUAGAUUUAUCAGAAAAGAAACACUUUGACAUGAACAGUUAGGGCUGGGUAUUAAUUUCAAUUUCAGUUUGAGUAAACUCUGAAAUAAUUCAUGCUUGGGGUCCAGAGCUACUCAUAUCAUAGUAGUCUAGGACAACAGGAUGCUUGCUUUCAAAGGAAAAAUAUUUUUUUCUUUUUCUUUUGAGACAGAGAUUUUCUCUUGUCACCCAGGCUGGAGUGCAAUGGCACAAUCUUGGCUCACUGCAACCUCCACCUCCUGGGUUCAAGUGAUUCUCCUGCCUGAGCCUCCUGAGUAGCUGGGAUUACAGAUGCCUGCCACCAUGUCCCAGCUAAUUUUUAUGUUUUUAGUAGAGACAGGGUUUCAUCAUAUUGGCCAGGCUGAUCUUGAACUCCUGACUUCAGGUGAGCCAUCUGCCUUGGCCUCCCAAAAGUGCUGGGAUUACAGGCGUGAGCCACUGUGCCUGGCCAGGGGCAACAUUUUUAACACUUUUCAGAGUUCUAGGUCCUUUGAAGGAAAAUUCUGUGGGCAGGUAAGAUUGUGAAACGUGGUAUUUCAGUUUUCCCAAAUGUGGCUGGCCUAAUCUGGUAAAACAUUUUUUUAAAGAAACUAUAGUGUCUUUUUUUCUUAAAUUUGAGGCAACAUGCACAAAACUGGAGAUUUGAAAUUAAAGCCAAGAUUUGUAGCUUCUCCGGAAAGACCUGGCAAGAUUGGACUGCGUUGCUAUUUGACCAGGACGCCACUAGAUGGGGUUGCAUCCUUGAAUCAUCAAGUCGUUAGUUGCCUUCAUGCUCACUUUUGUUACCUGCCUGGCACCUGUGGGGCUUUUAAAUUUAUCGUACCUGCUCUAUUCUCUGGAUCCUUCCCGGGCAUGUAUGAUGCAUGAUGAAGACUAUAGGAAUCUGGUUAGCUUUGCUUAAUGCAACAUUUCCAAAACUUGUUUGAAUGUAUGAGUAUAGUGACUAGUAGCAUUCUGUGAAGUACAAUGCAUAGGGGCUUAGGAGUUUAGGGUAAUAUCCAGAAUUAGGCACAGGACUUGAGCCUAACCCUAACUCUUAGCAGUUACACUGGAUGACAUUAGAGCAAAUGGUUCUUUACUACAUCUACAGUUUCUUCAUCUGUUCGAGGUAAUCAUUUCCAUAUCAGCUAUGGUGUACAGUGGUAAUUCCAAUGAAAUGUUACAUGUGAGAAGUCUUUGAAGUGUAGAAAACACUACAGAUACUGAAGCAGUUUGGAGAGUUAAAAAACACUACACAAAC